CCCUGCUGCCAAGUGCAGACGGCGGUCUCGGAGUGUGUGGCGUGCUGUACGCUGAGCGGUGAAACCAUCUCCCGGUCUGUUCUGUGUAGGUAAAUGACUGGAUUAUUUCACCAAGCUGACUGGCCAAUACCAUGUUACCAGCUAUUAGGUGACCUUGUCUGACCAGUUUGCUGUUCUAUGAGAAAACCAGCUUAUUUUCGAGGGUCAAGCCAUCUUCUA